UGAGCAAUCUGCCCUUCACAUCGGAAUAACCAUUGGAAACGAUGGCUAAUACCGAAUAUAACUUCGGAUCGCAUGAUCUGAAGUGGAAAGCUCCGGCGGUGAAGGAUGAGCUCGCGGCCUAUCAGCUUGUUGGUGGGUAAUGGCCCACCAAGGCGACGACGGGUAGCCGGCCUGAGAGGGUGACCGGCCACACUGGGACUGAGACACGGCCCAGACCUCCGUAGGGA
rnacentral:rRNA from 1 species